rnacentral:rRNA from 1 species
UACAGAGGGUGCAAGCGUUAAUCGGAAUUACUGGGCGUAAAGGGUGCGUAGGUGGUUUGUUAAGUCAGGUGUGAAAUCCUGGGGCUCAACCUCAGAAUUGCGCUUGAUACUGGCAGACUCGAGUGUGGUAGAGGAUAGUGGAAUUCCCGGUGUAGCGGUGAAAUGCGUAGAUAUCGGGAGGAACAUCAGUGGCGAAGGCGGCUAUCUGGACUAACACUGACACUGAGGCACGAAAGCGUGGGUAGCAAACAGG